GUUACUCGGUACAUCGGUGACAGGUGGUGCAUGGUUGUCGUCAGCUCGUGUCGUGAGAUGUUGGGUUAAGUCCCGCAACGAGCGCAACCCCUAUUGUUAGUUGCCAUCAUUCAGUUGGGCACUCUAGCGAGACUGCCGGUAAUAAACCGGAGGAAGGUGGGGAUGACGUCAAUCAUCAUGCCCCUUAUGACCUGGGCUACACACGUGCUACAAUGGUUGGUACAACGAGUUGCGAGUCGGUGACGGCGAGCUAAUCUCUUAAAGCCAAUCUCAGUUCGGAUUGUAGGCUGCAACUCGCCUACAUGAAGUCGGAAUCGCUAGUAAUCGCAGGUCAGCAUACUGCGGUGAAUACGUUCCCGGGCCUU
rnacentral:rRNA from 1 species